CAGCAGCAGCCGCGGUAAUACGGAGGGUGCAAGCGUUAAUCGGAAUUACUGGGCGUAAAGCGCACGCAGGCGGUCUGACAAGUCAGAUGUGAAAUCCCCGGGCUUAACCUGGGAACUGCAUUUGAAACUGUCAGGCUGGAGUCUUGUAGAGGGGGGUAGAAUUCCAGGUGUAGCGGUGAAAUGCGUAGAGAUCUGGAGGAAUACCGGUGGCGAAGGCGGCCCCCUGGACAAAGACUGACGCUCAGGUGCGAAAGCGUGGGGAGCAAACAGGAUUAGAUACCCGCGUAGUCCCUGUCUCUUAUAC
rnacentral:rRNA from 1 species